GGCUGGUCUGAAGGGAGUGAGUUAUCUCAUUUGAUUGCUCACGCAGUUACAGAUCAAACACCUUGUUCUACUCUUCCCCCUUCUCACUACUACAUUGACUAGUCUUAA
rnacentral:Y_RNA from 1 species